CGAUCAGGGGGGAUUUGUCCCCAUAAAUGAGUUUACAGUUCACCGCCUAAUCAGCCACCUGACC
rnacentral:tRNA from 1 species